UACGUAGGUGGCAAGCGUUAUCCGGAAUUAUUGGGCGUAAAGCGCGCGUAGGCGGUUUUUUAAGUCUGAUGUGAAAGCCCACGGCUCAACCGUGGAGGGUCAUUGGAAACUGGAAAACUUGAGUGCAGAAGAGGAAAGUGGAAUUCCAUGUGUAGCGGUGAAAUGCGCAGAGAUAUGGAGGAACACCAGUGGCGAAGGCGACUUUCUGGUCUGUAACUGACGCUGAUGCGCGAGAGCGUGGGGAUCAAACAGG
rnacentral:rRNA from 1 species